rnacentral:rRNA from 1 species
AACGAACGCUGGCGGCAGGCUUAACACAUGCAAGUCGAGCGAGUAAGUGCUGUAGUAAUACAGAUUACUGCUAGUGGCAGACGGGUGAGUAAUACAUGGGAAUCUGCCUUAAAGCCUGGGAUAACUGUUGGAAACGACAGCUAAUACCGGAUAAUACCGAGAGGUCAAAGAUUUAUCGCUUUAAGAUGAGCCCAUGCAAGAUUAGCUAGUUGGUAGGGUAAAGGCCUACCAAGGCGAAGAUCUUUAGCUGGUUUGAGAGGAUGAUCAGCCACACUGGAACUGAGACACGGUCCAGACUCCUACGGGAGGCAGCAGUGGGGAAUAUUGGACAAUGGGCGAAAGCCUGAUCCAGCAACGCCGCGUGAGUGAUGAAGGCCUUCGGGUUGUAAAACUCUUUCAGUAGGGAAGAAGCGAAAGUGACGGUACCUGCUGAAAAAGCACCGGCUAACUACGUGCCAGCCGCCGCAGUAACAC